rnacentral:misc_RNA from 1 species
AAAGUCGUAACAAGGUUUCCGUAGGUGAACCUGCGGAAGGAUCAUUAACAAUGAUACACCUUUGUAUGUGAACUCGAGUAAGGUGAGGUCCUCCAACUUCCCAGUCAUUUGGGGACUGGAUGCUUGACUGAACCAAACUCUUUAACUUGGUGGGAAUCGGCCCUGUUGGGUGCCUGCCUCUCUCUUUCGAGAUUGGUGGACCUCAAUUUGGCUGGCCCACCGCUUGUUUUAACCACGUAUCUUUACUUGGAACUGAAAUACACGAGCUUAAACAGAGACAACUUUUAGCAAUGGAUCUCUUGGCUCUC